rnacentral:rRNA from 1 species
GACGAGCGCUGGCGGCGUGCUUAACACAUGCAAGUCGAACGGAAAGGCCCUGCUUGCAGGGUACUCGAGUGGCGAACGGGUGAGUAACACGUGGGUGAUCUGCCCUGCACUUCGGGAUAAGCCUGGGAAACUGGGUCUAAUACCGGAUAUGACCUUCCAUGUAGUGUGGGGGGUGGAAAGAUUUAUCGGUGUGGGAUGAGCCCGCGGCCUAUCAGCUUGUUGGUGGGGUAAUGGCCUACCAAGGCGUCGACGGGUAGCCGGCCUGAGAGGGUGGACGGCCACAUUGGGACUGAGAUACGGCCCAGACUCCUACGGGAGGCAGCAGUGGGGAAUAUCGCACAAUGGGCGGAAGCCUGAUGCAGCGACGCCGCGUGGGGGAUGACGGCCUUCGGGUUGUAAACCUCUUUCGACAGGGACGAAGCUUCGGUGACGGUACCUGUAGAAGAAGCACCGGCUAACUACGUG